ACGCUCGACACCUACGGGAGCAGCAGUGGGGAAUAUUGCACAAUGGGGGAAACCCUGAUGCAGCGACGCCGCGUGAAGGAAGAAGUAUUUCGGUAUGUAAACUUCUAUCAGCAGGGAAGAAAAUGACGGUACCUGACUAAGAAGCCCCGGCUAACUACGUGCCAGCAGCCACGGUAAUCUGAGCGGGCUGGCAAGGC
rnacentral:rRNA from 1 species